rnacentral:rRNA from 1 species
CAAGCGGUGGAGCAUGUGGUUUAAUUCGACGCAACGCGAAGAACCUUACCUGGGCUCGAAAUGUAGUGGACCGGGGUAGAAAUACCUCUUCCCCGCAAGGGGCUGCUAUAUAGGUGCUGCAUGGCUGUCGUCAGCUCGUGUCGUGAGAUGUUGGGUUAAGUCCCGCAACGAGCGCAACCCUUAUCUCUAGUUGCCAUCAUUCAGUUGGGCACUCUAGCGAAACCGCCCCGGAUAACGGGGAGGAAGGUGGGGAUGACGUCAAGUCCUCAUGGCCUUUAUGUCCAGAGCUACACACGUGCUACAAUGGCCGGUACAAACCGCUGCAAACCCGCGAGGGGGAGCUAAUCGGAAAAAGCCGGCCUCAGUUCGGAUUGGAGUCUGCAACUCGACUCCAUGAAGCUGGAAUCGCUAGUAAUCGUGGAUCAGAACGCCACGGUGAAUACGUUCCCGGGCCUUGUACACACC